rnacentral:tRNA from 1 species
GCAUCCUUAGCUCAGCUGGAUAGAGUACUCGGCUACGAACCGAGCGGGUCGGAGGUUCGAAUCCUCCAGGAUGCACCA